CGGGUGAGUAUAAUGUGGGAAUCUGCCUUUUGGUUUGGAAUAACACGAGGAAACUUGUGCUAAUACCGAAUAAGCCUUUACAGGGAAAGUUUUAACGCCGAAAGAUGAGCCCGCACUUGAUUAGCUAGUUGGUAAGGUAAAAGCUUACCAAGGCAAUGAUCAAUAGCUGUUCUUAGAGGAAGACCAGCCACAUUGGGACUGAGACACGGCCCAGACUCCUACGGGAGGCAGCAGUGGGGAAUCUUGCACAAUGGGGGAAACCCUGAUGCAGCGAUGCCGCGUGAGUGAAGAAGGCCUUUGGGUUGUAAAACUCUUUCGUCGGGGAAGAAAAUGACUGUACCCGAAUAAGAAGGUCCGGCUAACUUCGUGCCAGCAGCCGCGGUAAUACGAAGGGACCUAGCGUAGUUCGGAAUUACUGGGCUUAAAGAGCUCGUAGGUGGUUAAAAAAGUUGAUGGUGAAAUCCCAAGGCUCAACCUUGGAACUGCCAUCAAAACUUUUUAGCUAGAGUGUGAUAGAGGUAA
rnacentral:rRNA from 1 species